CCUUGCCUCUGAUACCCAUGCAUCUGGAAAGAUAGCUGUGCUGCACCAGAAACAAAACGGUGGAAGCAGUUGGUUGGAGAACAAGGUGGGACGGGGCAGUCGAGGCAGCAGGCUGGUAUCACGGGUCCUUGUCUUGCUGAGAAGAGUCUUAGAAGGUCAGGAGCCAGGCAUAAAGCGACAUGAGUUGGAAUGUCUUUGAGUAGAACGGUCUUUUCUUGAGAUGAAAGCUUCCUUCCUCCGUCCCUCCCUUCCUUCCUUUCUUUUUGCCAGAUACUCUGAUGCUCACCUCAUGACAGGACAUCAUCAGGGGAGCCAGCACGUAGUUAAGACCCUGCGGUUCUUGUUCUGGAGUUUACACCGCAUCGGAGGAGACAGCAAAGCCUGGAGAAGUGAAGAAGUUCUGAAUCCAUGGUUGGGAGAAAUAUGGCAGCAGAUGGCAAUAUGCACAAGUGGCAUUUGGACCGGCCGGAUGUGAUGGGGAAUUGGGUUGGCUGUGAAAGAAAUCAAAGAAGACUAUUUCUACUGCUCACAACCCUAAACCUUUGAAAAUAUUGGCAGUGCUGCUGGAUUUUCUAUAAUAUUGUGGGAUGAGAGCAUACAUUGUUUUAUUUGAAAAAUAAGGAAAAGAAGGAUCCCAGAAGAUGGCGUGCUUGGGUGGAGGAACUCUUGGGUUAUGGUACUAAUUUCCAACUGAUUUGGGAUUGGAGUUUAAAACCAGUAUUUUAACACAGCAUGGCUGCCGACUUGUAAUGCAUAACAUUAUGUAAUAGCGUAGUAAGAUUACAGAUUUUACUAGCUUCUAGCUAAUUUCUCUGACCACAUUUGUAAAAAUAUAAGCAUCGCAAUAAUGGAUUGUAACAUACUGAAUUUUAGAAGAAUGAAGUUCCAUAGUGAUUUUUGAAAAUGGUGGGGGUGUGUGCAGUAAAAGCUCUUCUUUACGAAAGAAUGGGAAGAUGUGGAGGAGAUGACUGCAUUAGAAAAUCAUCAUUUUGCCACUAACAUUAUAAUAAUCAAUGCAGGCAAAUAUGCUCCUUGGUAUUUAGCCAAAGGAAUUGAAAACUAGGAGUUCCCGUCGUGGCUCAGUGGUUAACGAAUCCGACUAGGAACCAUGAGGUUGUGGGUUUGAUCCCUGGCCUCGCUCAGCGGGUUAAGGAUCCAGUGUUGCUGUGAGCUGUGGUGUAGGUUACAGAUACGACUCGGAUGCUGUGUUGCUGUGGCAGUGGUGUAAGCCGGCAGCUGUAGCUCCAAUUCAACCCCUAGCCUGGGAACCUCCACAUAUGACGUGGGUACAGCCCUAAAAAGCAAAAAAAGGAAAAAGAGAAAAGAAAUGGCUAUGUGUGGUUUACAAGCCUGUUAACACUGUCUUCUAGUUGAUUGACCAAACUAGGACACACGAGUUCAAUCCCUGGCCUUGCUCAGUGGGUUAAGAAGCUGUUGUGUAGGUCACAGAUGCGGCCGGGAUCCUGUGUUGCUGUGGUGCUGGCGAAGGAUGGCGACUACUGCUCUGAUUAGACCCCUAGCCUGGGAACCUCCAUAUGCCACAGGUGCGACCCUAGAAAAGACAAAAAGACAAAAAAAAAAAAAGAAAAAAAAGAAAAGAAAACUUAUGUCCACACAAAACCCUGUACCCAGAUUUUAUAACAGCUUUAUUCAUAAUGGCCCAAUCAUGGAAGAAACCAAGAUGACCCUCAGUAAGUGAACGGAUAAAUAAACUGCCAUAUAUCCGGAUAAUGGAAUUUCA
rnacentral:lncRNA from 1 species